rnacentral:rRNA from 1 species
AUUGAACGCUGGCGGCAGGCUUAACACAUGCAAGUCGAGCGAGCGGCGGACGGGUGAGUAAUGUCUGGGAAACUGCCUGAUGGAGGGGGAUAACUACUGGAAACGGUAGCUAAUACCGCAUACCAUCAGAUGUGCCCAGAUGGGAUUAGCUAGUAGGUGGGGUAAUGGCUCACCUAGGCGACGAUCCCUAGCUGGUCUGAGAGGAUGACCACCAACACUGGAAUGUAGACACGGUCCAGCCGCCUACGGGAGCCAGGAGGGGGGAAUAGUGAAAAAUGGGGGCAAGCCGGAAGCGGCCAGGCCGCGUGUGUGAAGAAGGCUUUCGGGUUGUAAAGCACUUUCAGCGAGGAGGCGUUACUCGCAGAAGAAGCACCGGCUAACUCCGUGCCAGCAGCCGCGGUAAAC